rnacentral:rRNA from 1 species
AAGGGUCCGUAGGCGUCUUGGAAGUCUGAUGUAAAAGCACAGAGCUCAACUCUGUGUACGUGUCGGAAACUCCCGAGAUUGAGUCAUGCAGAGGCAUCUGGAAUUCCAUGUGUAGGGGUAAAAUCCGUUGAUCCAUGGAGGAACGCCAAAAGCGAAGGCAGGAUGCUGGGCAUGUACUGACGCUGAGGGACGAAAGCGUGGGGAGCAAAGGGGAUUAGAUACCCCCGUAGUCCACGCCCUAAACGAUGCGGGCUCGGUGUUGGAACUUCAAUCAGUUCCAGUGCCCAAGUUAACACGUUAAGCCCGCCGCCUGAGGAGUACGAUCGCAAGAUUAAAACUCAAAGGAAUAGACGGGGACCCACACAAGCGGUGGAGCAUGGGGUUUAAUUCGAUGAUAAGCGAAGAACCUCACCCAGGCUUGACAUCUUUGGAACUCCGCGGAAACGCGGAGGUGCCGCAAGGAACCAAAAGACAGGCGAUGCACGGUCGUCGUCAGCUCGUGCCUUGAGGUGUACUGUUAAGUCAGCAAACGAGCGCAACCCUCAUCCUAUGUUGCAUUUUCAUGGGAGACUGCCGCCUCCAAGGCGGAGGAAGGUGGGGAUGACGUCAGAUCAGCGUGUCCCUUAUGCCUGGGGCUACACCCGUGCUACAAUGGCCGGUACAGAGGGGAGCAAAGCCGCGAGGCCAAGCAAAUCCCAAAAAACCGGUCUCAGUUCGGAUUGAAGUCUGCAACCCGACUUCAUGAAGUUGGAAUCGCUAGUAACUCGUAGAUCAGCCACGCUACGGUGAA